AUGGGGUGCAGCAGGCGCGAAACCUCCGCAAUGCGGGCAACCGCGACGGGGGGACCCCGAGUGCCGUCGGGGCAAAGCCCCGGCGGCUGUACCGGGGUGUAAAAAGCCCCGGGUAGAAAGCGGCGGGCAAGACCGCUGCCAGCCGCCGCGGUAAUAGCGGCGCCGCAAGUGGUGGCCGCUUUUAUUGGGCCUAAAGGGGCCGUAGCCGGUCCCGUGGGUCCCCGCCGAAAGCCCGCGGCUUAACCGCGGGAGUCGGCGGGGAAACUGCGGGACUUGGGACCGGGAGAGGCCGGAGGUACCCCCAGGGUAGGGGUGAAAUCCUGUCAUCCCGGGGGGACCGCCAGUGGCGAAGGCGUCCGGCUGGAACGGGUCCGACGGUGAGGGCCGAAAGCCGGGGGAGCAAACCGGAUUAGAUACCCGGGUAGUCCCGGCUGUAAACGAUGCGGACUAGGUGUUGGGGCGGCCACGAGCCGCCCCAGUGCCGUAGGGAAGCCGUUAAGUCCGCCGCCUGGGGAGUACGGCCGCAAGGCUGAAACUUAAAGGAAUUGGCGGGGGAGCAC
rnacentral:rRNA from 1 species